UACGGAGGAUCCAAGCGUUAUCCGGAUUUAUUGGGUUUAAAGGGUGCGUAGGUGGUUUAUUAAGUCAGGGGUGAAAGACGGCAGCUUAACUGUCGCAGUGCCCUUUGAUACUGAUGAACUUGAAUGAACUAGAGGUAGGCGGAAUGUGACAAGUAGCGGUGAAAUGCAUAGAUAUGAUGUAGAACACCGAUUGCGAAGGCAGCCUCACUAAGCUGUAACUGACACUGAGGCACGAAAGCGUGGGUAGCCGAACAG
rnacentral:rRNA from 1 species